CAAUAGCCGACUAUUAAGAUUUUGACCCUGUACCAUUAUUCUCAGUUUAUGUGGUGCUGGGAAUCAAAUCCAGGACUUUGUUUAUACUAGGCAAGCACUGUACCCAUUAAAUCACAUCCCCGGCCCAAGUCCUUAGUUUAAAGGAAAAAAAAAAAAGUGUGUUGCCAUCUUGUAAUUUAACCUAUAAAGAUUAGACUCAAUAUAGAUGUUUUUACAGAUUAUUUACAAAAGUUUCUAAUAUUAGAAAUGACACGAGCUCGGGAGAUGGUUUAGUGGAAACAAACUCUUACUCUGCAAACAUUAGGCUCCCAAGAAGCUGUCCUAAACUCUCUUUUUUAUGGGUGUGUGUCUAGAAUUCCUUUUUAAAGCUCUCUCGAGUUUUAUGUGGAUGUAGUCAGCCCAUAUUGGCGCUAUGUAGGCCCAGCUGGCUUUGAAUUCACAGAUGCUGCUGACUCUACUCCUGAAUAUUAAAGGUGUGUGCCACCAUGCCUGGUGGUUCAUUUCUUUUUUUUCCCUCAUUUUUCAUUAGCAUGAAGGAGAAAAAAGAACUCUUUUGUGGAAUUUUGUGCAUAAGUGUGCAUGUGUGCAUGUGCACACACACACAUACACACACACACACAACUCUGUGUAUGUAAUGGACUUCCUUAUGUAGUCCAUACUAACCUGGAUCUUGUGGCAAAUUUCCUGCCUCAGCCUGUCAGCUGCUGGGAAGGCAGGUGUGAGCCACCAUCCCCAGAUCACACUUGACUCAGUAUGUCCCCUCUGAAGACAGAAGGCAGGUGUGAGCCACCAUCCCCAGAUCACACUGGACUCAGUAUGUCCCCCCUGAAGACGGAAGGCAGGUGUGAGCCACCAUCCCCA